UUAGAAGCUUUAAGUCCAUGAUUAAGUUCAGGUUUAUAUCUUUGAAUAGCGAGGGAUUCUUGAUAUAGUAAAAGGGACCAAUGGUUAGAUUUAUCAAUUAUUUUAGUGUUGUUGAAAACAUGUUCAGCCAUUAUACUGGUUUGAUCAGACUUUGCGUCAUCGUCGGCAUAAAGUUCUAAAAGGGCUUUAAUAUGUUGAAACUGUUCGCAAGUAGAGAGGUGUUGAUGGAUUACAGAUUCAGUGUGACAUGAAUGUUCCUUAGUUCUGGUGUAUAAGCAGCGAUCAGUUUUGCCGAUGUACCUACUAUUACAUCCAGGGCAAGUAAAUUCAUAAACUACAGAGCUUUGACAAGUUUUCGGGGUUUUAUCUUUGCAUGACACAAAUACGUUGCUGUUAAUGGUUUUCCAGUUAAUAAUGAAUCGGCAUUUGAAUGAGGAGAGGGGUUAUUUUGUGUAUCAACGAACGAGUUAGUCUUUCACCAAAUUUGCCAAGAUAGGGUAGCUGUAACCAGAUAUUAGGAGUUUUGUUUGAUUCAGUCAUAUUUCAUCAUAUUUAUUUAUUUAUUUUUUUUUAAUUUUUUUUUUAUUUAUCAUAUUUAUUUAUUUAUUUUUUUAUUUAUUUUUUUAUUUUUUCAUCAUAUUUCAUUAAUUCGUUAAUAAUCAACCUACUAUUGUAUCAUAUUUCUUCAUAUAAAUACCGCUUUUGAUAUAUAACCUAGCUAGUUUAUCCUGAUGAUGACUGAAAUAUAGUCGAAACGUAGAUAAAUAAAAAU
rnacentral:lncRNA from 1 species